GGACAUGAGGGCCAUCUGGCUAUGACAUCUGUCACCCCCAUUAAUCACCAGGAUUGAUUCCAUUGAUCUGGCUGUCUAGGUGGGUGUCCUUUUCCUCCCUCGCAAUUCCAUGUGUGUCCCUUCUGAAACUGUGCUCGGUUGAAGAGGACAACCUUCCCAGACAGAGGGGACCCCCUUCUUCCCUCAAGGGCAUGUGAGUAGCAUGUGACUACUUUCCUGCCAGAACUUCCAAACAAGUCCCGAAGUUCACAUGGCAAUGCUUAAUCUCCAGCAGCAAUAGUAU
rnacentral:snRNA from 1 species